GUGCUCACUUCAGCAGCACAUAUACUAAACCGGAAUGAUACAGAGAUUAGCAUGGCCCCUGCGCAAGGAUGACAGACAAAUUCGUGAGCGGUCCAUAUUUUU